rfam:Oryza barthii chromosome 8, whole genome shotgun sequence.
GCACUGAAAGUGAGAGUUGGAUGAAAACAAACUGACUGAUCAUCAGACAACUCCAACAGAUCACUGAUCAGAUUGUUUUCCUCCAAUAUCUCACCUUCAGCAA